rnacentral:tRNA from 1 species
GCCGCAUUAGCUCAGUGGUAGAGCAACCGCCUUGUAAGUGGUAGGUCAUCGGUUCAAGUCCGAUAUGCGGCU